GCUCAUAUAUGCCUCUGAAGCUAUUAAUAUUUUGAGUAACUUCUGUAUGUUUUGGCGUAGCUACCGUAACCAUCUUACGAUGGUAAAGACAGAACAACGCUGCCAAUGAAUUGUAUUCAAGUACCUGUCACGGACCCUAUGCACAAUAAAAGUGAGGCAAAGUCAAAAUGUAGGCAACCCUCUGUCCUGACGGUUGUAUGUCUCUUUCUAUCUCAUUGACAUCCGGAGAUUUGCAGCAAUAUUUAGCAAUUUUGGUUUUUCUUAAACAGUUAAAGUUUAAAAAAUCGUAACUACAAUUCUGAAGUGGAAUAAUUAAGCAAAAGCAAAACUAAUACGUGAAAUA